ensembl:lncRNA
CUUGAAAGCACCAACAUCUGUGUAUCUCAAGGUUAGGACAGUGCUGGACUCAGUCUAAUCUAGGGGCUUCCCAGCUGGCUUAGUGGUAAAGAAUCCACCUGCCAGAGCAGAAGACACAGACUUGAUCCCUGGGUCGGGAAGGUCCCCUGGAGAAGGAAAUGGCAACCCACUCCAGUAAUCUUGCCUGGGAAAUUCCAUGGACAGGGGAGCCUGGUGGGCUACAGUCCACGGGCUCAGAAAAGAUUCAGACACGACUGAGUGACUGAAACAGCAGGCAUAUCUGGACCACAAUCCCUUGGCCAUAUCGGACAGAGCCUCCUUCUUGCCAUUCGUCAUGGUGAAGAGCAUGGACUUCACGGCGUGCAUUCUGGAACUCCCCUUCAACUGUCUAGUAUAGAACACUGGUUCUGAGUCAAAACUGAACUUGGACUGUUUCUGGGAAAAUUUCCAUACUUAGCUUCUGUUCCUGGACAAUGUCUACCACGAGGCUUGUCCUGGUUACAAGUUAGAGUUUUCCCCAAGAUUCUAAAACUGGAGUCUAGAAGAAGAUUCUUGCCUUUUAAUGUGCUCAUGUGGACUACAAGUCAUCGCAGAUUUAUGUGGAUUCUUUGCUCAGUGCUGAGGACGCCAACGUUCUGUCCUCCAAGGAUCCCCAGGCUGGUUUGUUGAUUGCUUAUGGAUUCAAGCAUAUCACUAUGUUGAAGCACUUCUCAAAUUAGAUCUGAUUCAACUCUGGGACUUAGAGAAUGUUUCAUCUUGCCUCUUCUUUCUGUAUAAGGCAACACCCGCUUUACGUAUCAUAUCUUUGUAGCUUGGAACUAACCUCUGAAGUUCCCAUGAUGUUUAGGCUCAAAAUUAUCAUCAAAUAAUGACAUUCAUAAUAACAAAGCUGACUGAAGGGACACUCUUGGUCCCCAGAGAUGACUUGGGAAUGUCUGCCUGGGAAGCAUAAGGCUACAAGAUCAAAUUCAGUGUUCCUAAUAUUUAAAAUUGCAUCAGGAAUAUUCCAUUGGUACAUCUUCCCUAAGGAUUAUUUUUUUCAGUCACUUGAAUUCAACGAUGAGGAAAGCACUAAAUCCUUUCAUGGUGACGUCAGCUCCUCAAGACCAGCAGAAAACCUUUUGGAAAUAAGCACUUGAUUGAACUCCCCCUACACUGAGAUCAUAUUUGCUGACCUUCUCCCACUACCUCCUUGGAGCAGUUUCUCAGCUCUCUGAGGGGCUGUCCCCCAGGCUGCAGUCCUCAUUUUGCCCCCAAUAAAACUUUACUCCUAACUCUCACGUUGUGCAUCUUUUGGUAGUUGACAUAUCUAACAGCUCUAAUUUGAUCCUAGUAUCUUACAUUGUGCUUCCUGGUGGCUCAGCUGGUAAAGAAUCCGCCUGCAAUGUGGGAGACCUGGGUUCGAUCCCUGGGUCAGGAAGAUCCCCUGGAGAAGGGAAUGACAACCCACUCCAGUAUCUUGCCUGGACAAUUCCAUGGAUAGAGGAGCCUGGCGGGCUACAGUACGUGGGGUCAAAAAUAGUUGGACAUGACUGAGCAACUUAUGCUCUUACAUUUAACAUCUCAAAGCCAGAACUUUUCACCCACCAUCUGCUCAGGUGUCAUGCAUUGAAC